rnacentral:rRNA from 1 species
GCAGUCUAGUCUACAGCCUGAGAGCACCCAGUCUCCUCUGACCUUGGAAGCUAAGCAGGGUUGGGAGUGGGUAAUACUUGGAUGGGAGAAAUAUGAAGUCUCUUGCCACUUUGCA